UUAGAGUUUGAUCCUGGCUCAGAUUGAACGCUGGCGGCAGGCCUAACACAUGCAAGUCGAGCGGAUGAGUGGAGCUUGCUCCAUGAUUCAGCGGCGGACGGGUGAGUAAUGCCUAGGAAUCUGCCUGGUAGUGGGGGACAACGUUUCGAAAGGAACGCUAAUACCGCAUACGUCCUACGGGAGAAAGCAGGGGACCUUCGGGCCUUGCGCUAUCAGAUGAGCCUAGGUCGGAUUAGCUAGUUGGUGAGGUAAAGGCUCACCAACGGCGACGAUCCGUAACUGGUCUGAGAGGAUGAUCAGUCACACUGGAACUGAGACACGGUCCAGACUCCUACGGGAGGCAGCAGUGGGGAAUAUUGGACAAUGGGCGAAAGCCUGAUCCAGCCAUGCCGCGUGUGUGAAGAAGGUCUUCGGAUUGUAAAGCACUUUAAGUUGGGAGGAAGGGCAGUAAGUUAAUACCUUGCUGUUUUGACGU
rnacentral:rRNA from 1 species